GACGAACACUGGCGGCGUGCCUAAUACAUGCAAGUCGAACGAUGAACCCGGAGCUUGCUCCGGUGGAUUAGUGGCGAACGGGUGAGUAACACGUGAGUAACCUGCCCUUGACUCUGGGAUAACUGCGGGAAACUGUAGCUAAUACCGGAUACGACCCUCGGCGGCAUCGCCAGGGGGUGGAAAGAAUUUCGGUCAAGGAUGGACUCGCGGCCUAUCAGCUAGUUGGUGAGGUAACGGCUCACCAAGGCGACGACGGGUAGCCGGCCUGAGAGGGUGACCGGCCACACUGGGACUGAGACACGGCCCAGACUCCUACGGGAGGCAGCAGUGGGGAAUAUUGCACAAUGGGCGCAAGCCUGAUGCAGCAACGCCGCGUGAGGGAUGACGGCCUUCGGGUUGUAAGCCUCUUUUAGUAGGGAAGAAGCGAAAGUGACGGUACCUGCAGAAAAAGCACCGGCUAACUACGUGCCAGCAGCCGCGGUAA
rnacentral:rRNA from 1 species